rnacentral:rRNA from 1 species
GACGAACGCUGGCGGCGUGCUUAACACAUGCCAGUCGAACGGAAAGGCCCUGCUUUUGUGGGGUGCUCGAGUGGCGAACGGGUGAGUAACACGUGAGUAACCUGCCCUUGACUUUGGGAUAACUUCAGGAAACUGGGGCUAAUACCGGAUAGGAGCUCCUGCUGCAUGGUGGGGGUUGGAAAGGUUCGGCGGUUGGGGAUGGACUCGCGGGUUAUCAGCUUGUUGGUGGGGUAGUGGCUUACCAAGGCUUUGACGGGUAGCCGGCCUGAGAGGGUGACCGGCCACAUUGGUACUGCGAUACGGCCCAGACUGCUACGGGAGGCAGCGGUGGGGAAUAUUGCACAAUGGGCGGAAGCCUGAUGCAGCAACGCCGCGUGCGGGAUGACGGCCUUCGGGUUGUAAACCGCUUUCGCCUGUGACGAAGCGUGAGUGACGGUAAUGGGUAAAGAAGCACCGGCUAACUACGUG